rnacentral:rRNA from 1 species
GACGAACGCUGGCGGCGUGCUUAACACAUGCCAGUCGAACGGAAAGGCCCUGCUUUUGUGGGGUGCUCGAGUGGCGAACGGGUGAGUAACACGUGAGUAACCUGUCCUUGACUUUGGGAUAACUUCAGGAAACUGGGGCUAAUACCGGAUAGGAGCUCCUGCUGCAUGGUGGGGGUUGGAAAGUUUCGGCGGUUGGGGAUGGACUCGCGGCUUAUCCGCUUGUUGGUGGGGUAGUGGCUUACCAAGGCUUUGACGGGUAGCCGGCCUGAGAGGGUGACCGGCCACAUUGGGACUGAGAUACGGCCCAGACGCCUACGGGAGGCAGCAGUGGGGAAUAUUGCACAGUGGGCGGAAGCCUGAUGCAGCAACGCCGCGUGCGGGAUGACGGCCUUCGGGGUGUAAACCGCUUUCGCCUGUGACGAAGCGUGAGUGACGGUAAUGGGUAAAGAAGCACCGGCUAACUACGUG